rnacentral:rRNA from 1 species
UACGUAGGGUGCAAGCGUUGUCCGGAAUUAUUGGGCGUAAAGAGCUCGUAGGCGGUUUGUCGCGUCUGCUGUGAAAACCCGAGGCUCAACCUCGGGCCGGCAGUGGGUACGGGCAAACUAGAGUGCGGUAGGGGAGAUCGGAAUUCCUGGUGUAGCGGUGAAAUGCGCAGAUAUCAGGAGGAACACCGGUGGCGAAGGCGGAUCUCUGGGCCGUAACUGACGCUGAGGAGCGAAAGCAUGGGUAGCGAACAGG